CCUUUACCUUCGGUGAUGUCUCUUCCUCCAUCUCCCAUCGACAUUUCCCGAUUCUCAAAUCUUCCUCACUGUUUGACUUCUCCCCUUCACACCUGCCCUUUCCGACUGUCUCACGUCAGGAACACUUUUCUAACCAUUAGGGAAUGAGAGAGAAUAUGUGGAGUUUACAGGGUCACACCGACAGACGAAAUUACUGACAUUCGGUGAAUUCAUUGGAGCUGGGCAGUGAGGGACAUUGACAGUGAUGGGAUCUACGAUCAGUGAAUUACUGAAGGGUUUAAUGUUUCCUGAAAUAUCCGGGUGAGAGAAAUGCCCUCAGACGGACGAUUUUAAUCACAAUGUUCAUCAAUUUGUCUGCUUGUGUUUAGACUGAACAGUAAUAAACUGGGGGAUUCAGGAGUGAAACUGGUGUCUGCGGCUCUGAGGAACCCGGAGUGUAAAAUACAGAGACUGUGGCUGGGGGAUGUCGGUCUCACAGAUUCUGGUGCCGAGGAUCUCGUCUCCGCUCUCAGUACAAACCCAUCACUGACGGAUCUGGACCUGAGUGAUAAUAAACUGGGUGAUUCAGGAGUGAAACUGGUGUCUGCGGCUCUGAGGAACCCGGAGUGUAAAAUACAGAGACUGUGGCUGAGGGAUGUCGGUCUCACAGAUUCUGGUGCCGAGGAUCUCGUCUCCGCUCUCAGUACAAACCCAUCACUGACGUGGCUGGACCUGGGAUACAACUCUCUGACAGACCGAUCUGUCCCCGGUCUCCGCCGCCUCAUCCUGACCCUCCCGAGUCUGGAGUGGAUCGGGCUGGAGGGGAAUCGGUUCAGUGAGACCGGGGAGAAGGAACUGAGAUCUCUACAGGAACCCAGACCCGGACGGAUGGUGGAUCUGUGAACAUCUGAAUGUGGGGAAUCGGUUCAGUGAGACCAGGGAGAAGGAACUGAGAUCUCUACAGGAACCCAGACACGGACUGAUGGUGGAUCUGUGAACAUCUGAAUGUGGAGAAUCGGUUCAGUGAGACCGGGGAGAAGGAACUGAGAUCUCUACAGGAAACCAGACCCGGACUGAUGGUGGAUCUGUGAACAUCUGAAUGUGGGGAAUCGGUUCAGUGAGACCGGGGAAAGGAACUGAGAUCUCUACAGGAACCCAGACCCGGACUGAUGGUGGAUCUGUGAACAUCUGAAUGUGGAGAAUCGGUUCAGUGAGACCGGGAUGAAGGAACUGAGAUCUCUACAGGAACCCAGACCCGGACUGAUGGUGGAUCUGUGAACAUCUGAAUGUGGAGAAUCGGUUCAGUGAGACCGGGGAGAAGGAACUGAGAUCUCUACAGGAACCCAGACCCGGACUGAUGGUGGAUCUGUGAACAUCUGAAUGUGGGGAAUCGGUUCAGUGAGACCGGGAUGAAGGAACUGAGAUCUCUACAGGAACCCAGACCCGGACUGAUGGUGGAUCUGUGAACAUCUGAAUGUGGAGAAUCGGUUCAGUGAGACCGGGAUGAAGGAACUGAGAUCUCUACAGGAACCCAGACCCGGACUGAUGGUGGAUCUGUGAACAUCUGAAUGUGGUGAAUCGGUUCAGUGAGACCGGGGGGAAGGAACUGAGAUCUCUACAGGAACCCAGACCCGGACUGAGAGUGGAUCUGUGAACAUCUGAAUGUGGGGAAUCGGUUCAGUGAGACCGGGAUGAAGGAACUGAGAUCUCUACAGGAACCCAGACCCGGACUGAUGGUGGAUCUGUGAACAUCUGAAUGUGGGGAAUCGGUUCAGUGAGACCGGGUGAAGGAACUGAGAUCUCUACAGGAACCCAGACCCGGACUGAUGGUGGAUCUGUGAACAUCUGAAUGUGGUGAAUCGGUUCAGUGAGACCGGGAUGAAGGAACUGAGAUCUCUACAGGAACCCAGACCCGGACUGAGAGUGGAUCUGUGAACAUCUGAAUGUGGGGAAUCGGUUCAGUGAGACCGGGAUGAAGGAACUGUGAUCUCUACAGGAACCCAGACCCGGACUGAUGGUGGAUCUGUGAACAUCUGAAUGUGGUGAAUCGGUUCAGUGAGACCGGGAUGAAGGAACUGUGAUCUCUACAGGAACCCAGACCCGGACUGAUGGUGGAUCUGUGAACAUCUGAAUGUGGUGAAUCGGUUCAGUGAGACCGGGAUGAAGGAACUGAGAUCUCUACAGGAACCCAGACCCGGACUGAUGGUGGAUCUGUGAACAUCUGAAUGUGGGGAAUCGGUUCAGUGAGACCGGGGGGAAGGAACAGAGAUCUCUACAGGAACCCAGACCCGGACUGAGAGUGGAUCUGUAAACAUCUGAAUGUGGAUAAUCGGUUCAGUGGGACCGGGAUGAAGAAACUGAGAUCUCUACAGGAACCCAGACCCGGACUGAGAGUGGAUCUGUGAACAUCUGAAUGUGGGGAAUCGGUUCAGUGAGACCGGGAUGAAGGAACUGAGAUCUCUACAGGAACCCAGACCCGGACUGAUGGUGGAUCUGUGAACAUCUGAAUGUGGUGAAUCGGUUCAGUGAGACCGGGGAUGAAGGAACUGAGAUCUCUACAGGAACCCAGACCCGGACUGAUGGUGGAUCUGUGAACAUCUGAAUGUGGUGAAUCGGUUCAGUGAGACCGGGAUGAAGGAACUGAGAUCUCUACAGGAACCCAGACCCGGACUGAUGGUGGAUCUGUGAACAUCUGAAUGUGGUGAAUCGGUUCAGUGAGACCGGGAUGAAGGAACUGAGAUCUCUACGGGAACCCAGACCCGGACUGAUGGUGGAUCUGUGAACAUCUGAAUGUGGUGAAUCGGUUCAGUGAGACCGGGAUGGAACUGAGAUCUCUACAGGAACCCAGACCCAGACUGAUGGUGGAUCUGUGAACAUCUGAAUGUGGUGAAUCGGUUCAGUGAGACCGGGAUGAAGGAACUGAGAUCUCUACAGGAACCCAGACCCGGACUGAUGGUGGAUCUGUGAACAUCUGAAUGUGGUGAAUCGGUUCAGUGAGACCGGGAUGAAGGAACUGAGAUCUCUACAGGAACCCAGACCCGGACUGAGAGUGGAUCUGUGAACAUCUGAAUGUGGUGAAUCGGUUCAGUGAGACCGGGAUGAAGGAACUGAGAUCUCUACAGGAACCCAGACCCGGACUGACAGUGGAUCUGUGAACAUCUGAAUGUGGUGAAUCGGUUCAGUGAGACCGGGAUGAAGGAACUGAGAUCUCUACAGGAACCCAGACCCGGACUGAUGGUGGAUCUGUGAACAUCUGAAUGUGGUGAAUCGGUUCAGUGAGACCGGGAUGAAGGAACUGAGAUCUCUACAGGAACCCAGACCCGGACUGAUGGUGGAUCUGUGAACAUCUGAAUGUGGGGAAUCGGUUCAGUGAGACCGGGAUGAAGGAACUGAGAUCUCUACAGGAACCCAGACCCGGACUGAUGGUGGAUCUGUGAACAUCUGAAUGUGGUGAAUCGGUUCAGUGAGACCGGGAUGAAGGAACUGAGAUCUCUACAGGAACCCAGACCCGGACUGAUGGUGGAUCUGUGAACAUCUGAAUGUGGGGAAUCGGUUCAGUGAGACCGGGGGGAAGGAACUGAGAUCUCUACAGGAACCCAGACCCGGACUGAUGGUGGAUCUGUGAACAUCUGAAUGUGGGGAAUCGGUUCAGUGAGACCGGGAUGAAGGAACUGAGAUCUCUACAGGAACCCAGACCCGGACUGAGAGUGGAUCUGUGGACAUCUGAAUGUGGGGAAUCGGUUCAGUGAGACCGGGAUGAAGGAACUGAGAUCUCUACAGGAACCCAGACCCGGACUGAGAGUGGAUCUGAAUGUGUGAACAUCCCCGCCCGUGGGAUGGGGACAUUUGGCCGACUCCCCGCCCUCCCCUUUAACUCCCGCCCUUACCUUUAACGGCCGCGCGCUGGGACUGAUUCCCAACGGUUUUAACGGAACCGGCACGGGCCUCGCGCUGUGUGCGUCGCUCGCAGCGGUCCCGCAGUGACGUGUUUCCGCCUGUUGUCCGGCGGGGCAGCUUCCGCCGGAAGUGCGUGUUGGAGACUCCCCACGUGGCUACCCGGGGAAUUACCCGGACAGGAAGAGCCCGGGGUCCGGGGCUCAGUCUGGGACACCGGUGUCCCGGGGUGGGGGGGGGGGGGAUGGUCCCGGGAGAGAAUCCUUUUGCCCCCUUUGCUGAGGACGGUGCAUUCGGCAGCCUGGCCGAUAUAAUGAUGUUAAAUGGACAAAUCCCUCGGCAGUGACCCUGGAUCUGCAGCGAUCCCGGACACGGCCCUGAAGUGUGAUUUUAUAAUCAGUUUUAUAAUUUUAUAAUCAGUUUUAUAAUUUUAUAAUCAGUUCCCCGAUGCAGAGUGACGGUGAGAAACGGGACUGGUUAUUAUUCAACCGGUCACCCCUUGUCGCCGGUCAGUUAAUAGUGUGUGACUGUCAGCAGAUUAUUUAUUCCCGCACGUUAGCAGCUCACACAUUGUUUCAUUGAUAUUUCUCAUAAAAAUCAAUAAACCACUGUAUCUUCCUGU